AGUGAACGCUGGCGGUAGGCCUAACACAUGCAAGUCGAACGGCAGCACAGUAAGAGCUUGCUCUUACGGGUGGCGAGUGGCGGACGGGUGAGGAAUACAUCGGAAUCUACUUUUUCGUGGGGGAUAACGUAGGGAAACUUACGCUAAUACCGCAUACGACCUACGGGUGAAAGCAGGGGAUCUUCGGACCUUGCGCGAUUGAAUGAGCCGAUGUCGGAUUAGCUAGUUGGCGGGGUAAAGGCCCACCAAGGCGACGAUCCGUAGCUGGUCUGAGAGGAUGAUCAGCCACACUGGAACUGAGACACGGUCCAGCCUCCUGCGGGAGGCAGCAGUGGGGAAUAUUGGACAAUGGGCGCGAGCCUGAUCCAGCCAUACCGCGUGGGUGAAGAAGGCCUUCGGGUUGUAAAGCCCUUUUGUUGGGAAAGAAAAGCAGCAGGUUAAUACCCCGCUGUUCUGACGGUACCCAAAGAAUAAGCACCGGCUAACUUCGUG
rnacentral:rRNA from 1 species